rnacentral:tRNA from 1 species
GUUUUUGUAGUGUAGUGGUCAUCACGCUUGCCUAAUAUGUGUAGAGGUCCCCGGUUCGAAACCGGGCGAAAAUG